rnacentral:rRNA from 1 species
CAUCCUACGGGAGGCAGCAGUGGGGAAUAUUGCACAAUGGGGGGAACCCUGAUGCAGCGACGCCGCGUGAGUGAAGAAGUAUUUCGGUAUGUAAAGCUCUAUCAGCAGGGAAGAAAAUGACGGUACCUGACUAAGAAGCCCCGGCUAACUACGUGCCAGCAGCCGCGGUAAUACGUAGGGGGCAAGCGUUAUCCGGAUUUACUGGGUGUAAAGGGGGCGCAGACGGCAGCGCAAGCCAGGACUGAAAGCCCGCGGCCCACCCCCGGGACUCCCC